UUAAAAAUGUACGUUGAGGUUCGGGAUAGAUCGGGAGAAUUCGGGCGGCAUCGGACGUAAUCACAAUUCUUUCGUAUUAUUCGGGAUUUCUAGACUCAAUUCGGCUCAAAGGUAAAGCGGAUCGUCUGAUUUCGGCUUGGUUCGAUGAAAGUCGGAUGCAAUCGGUUCUAUGGCCCGAGAUUCGACUAUUGAAGGUACAUAAUACGUUUCAUUUCAUUUUAUAAGACGUAGUUAAAGUUUUCUCGAGUCCGAAAAAUAUUCAAGCAUCGUUAAAUGAAGGUUAAGAGGUAUUUUCGCUUUCAACAAUCCAAUUUUACAAACAAGAGAAACAAAUUAUUUUAAUAACUCGUUUGAAGAUCUCUACAACUCAAUUCAACUCGAAGAAUUUCAAAUAAAGUCUUUGAAGUACUGAAGUUCUCUUCGUAAGAGGCGAAGCAUGGAAGAGACGCGGUUCUCCUGUUCACUUCCAUAUAAAACCCUCCUAUAUACGCGUACACGGAACAGUGACCAGCUUGGCAGUGCUUGGACCGAUCGAUUUUUCAGUAUUUCCGCGUGUAUCGAUACCCUCUCUCGUCCGCGGUUCCCUUUUUUUUUUCCCCCCUCCCUCUUUCAUUCCCUUUCCUCCGCCAAGUCAUACCACUCUCCAACCUUUGCUAAAUGGAUUAUCAUCGUUGGGGAUUUUGAGCGUCGGUCUUUGACGUAACGAGAACGACGAGUGCGAGAAACGGUGGCGCGAGUUCGAAGGCAAGGCGCGCAUGUCGAUGCUCAAGGCAGCCAAUGGACUGGUUGAAAUAUUAAACGGGAGCAAAGACCCUGUUCUCGUGCACCACGUAGCCAUGGUUCAAUUUCUACGCCGGCGGCGGCGGCCUAGGUGUGGGGGAGAGGGGUUGAAUGAAAAUAGACGACGACACAGGGUGAAACGAGGUGGGUGGCGGUUGGGAUAGAGACGAUGGGAGAGUCGAGAGUUAGGAUUUCGACGACACUACCAGCGACAUCUACAUUUCGCGACUGGCUGCAGGGACGCAAAAAGAAGAGGGACGCCUCCCCCACCAUUCGGCCGCGCAUGCGCAAUUUGUGAAAUCUCGGCCUGCAUUCGAAGUAUAAUAUGAGGAAAUUUGCCGCUUACUCUGUAUAUAAUGGUUCCAAAUCGUUUGGAAAAUUAGCGUAAUGCAUUGGUUACGUGACAAAUAUUUCUGCUUCUGGAGUGUAGGUUGGUAUAAUAUGUUCGUUAAAAUUUUUAGAUUGAUUGAAUUGAAUUUUUUAAUUGA